GUGGGGAAUAUUGCACAAUGGGCGCAAGCCUGAUGCAGCAACGCCGCGUGAGGGACGACGGCCUUCGGGUUGUAAACCUCUUUUAGCAGGGAAGAAGCGAAAGUGACGGUACCUGCAGAAAAAGCACCGGCUAACUACGUGCCAGCAGCCGCGGUAAUACGUAGGGUGCAAGCGUUGUCCGGAAUUAUUGGGCGUAAAGAGCUCGUAGGCGGUUUGUCGCGUCUGCUGUGAAAACCCGAGGCUCAACCUCGGGCCUGCAGUGGGUACGGGCAGACUAGAGUGCGGUAGGGGAGAUUGGAAUUCCUGGUGUAGCGGUGGAAUGCGCAGAUAUCAGGAGGAACACCGAUGGCGAAGGCAGAUCUCUGGGCCGUAACUGACGCUGAGGAGCGAAAGCGUGGGGAGCGAACAGGAUUAGAAACCCGGGUAGUCC
rnacentral:rRNA from 1 species